CGGCGCCACAACCAGCUUCUUUCCAGGGGGGAUAAUUAAUGCACUCUACCAUUAGGCCCCAUGUGGACGUCUGACCUCGCCAUUGCUCUGCUCCAAACGGGCAAAGGACAGUGAAAUAAGCGCGUCUUCUGCUUCACAGUUGGUUGCCUGUCUGUGAGGGAGGUGUUUGAACAGCCUACAAACUACUGUGACAAAAGGUGAUGCUUUCAUCCUGAUUUGUCCUUCUUGGACCUGGGAGUCCCUGAAUCCCAGUAUGGCUUUGGAACACCCUGGAAAUACCUGGACUUCUAGGAGUGUAUAACCAAAAGAUCUUGAGGUGCCCAGGCGCCGCAUUGAUAGCUUUACAUUUGCCUGUACAAUUUUGACACCAAACAAAAGAAGAAAUAGAGGAGAGGACUUUAGCAAUAGCUGCCACAAUUGUUUCGACAAGCCUACUGUGACCAGGAGGACUCGACCUUUGGGCCGGCGGGCUUCAAACCGACACUUGAAAAGAGAACGCCGCCAGGGA